UAAGUUUUAAUUAUUUUUUAGAUUCAUACUACGGGCCCUUCAUCUACAGUGGAGGAGAGUCCCACGACGAUCAUAGAGGAUGUUGUUCCGACAGUCACUAAGGGUCCCGAUGUUACACAGAUUCAUACUACGGGACCUUCAUCUACAGUGGAGGAGAGUCCCAAGACGAUCAUAGAGGAUGUUGUUCCGACAGUUAAUGAGGAUCCCGAUGUUACACAGGUUUAUGUUAUUUAUUUAUUUUUUGAAAUAUUUAUAUUAGUUAUUUUGUAGACUUUUGUUUUGCACCACAUUGUAUAUUCCUAUCAUUUAUACUUUUAUUUUUUAAUGUCUACUAUCUAACUUUGUAUUUGCAGACCUCCUUAUCACCACUCUCGUCUCCAGAUGUUACGUUCAUUAUGCCAGUGGAUGAUAUGCCGCAAACACCCGGAAGGAAAAAACUUGUUAAAAGAAUUGUAAAGAAUGUGAACAUAAAGGAUCUUCCGGCCAAAAAGAGGAAGAGGAACAAUUAAGAUGAAGAUGGAUAUACGGGACUUAGACUGCGAGAUGUUUUACGGAUUUCAAAAAAGGGUUGUGGAACAUAAUAUUAUUAUAUUUGUGUAUGAAUCUUUUUUUGAGGGUGUAUAGUAAAUUAUUCUAAUCAUAUAUAGUUUUAUUUUGGUGUAUGUAUCUUUUUUUUGUGGUGUAUAGUACUAUUGGUUUAGUUAUAUAUAUUAUUAUUAUUUUGUGUAUGUAUUUUUUUUCUUUUAAAAAGUGAAUAAAUUUUUUAAAAAAUUUAAACAUGACUUGAAGAUGAUCAAAAGUUCGAAUAAAUAGUUGCAUAAAAAUUGAUACAAGAAUAAAUUAACACAAUUAAACAUCUUUCUCUAGCUACUACUAACAUAUGAGGCGUUUCGAGUUCGUGAAUGACAGUUGCGCCUAUCAUGGCCUAUUUGUUUGCACGUUGAGCACUUGCGAGUGAGUGUACUUGUAGGAACAUCCAUUUCAUUUUGUAUACGGGUGGUUUUAUUUACGCCCACUUUUCGUAAAUAAUUUUUAUUUGCUAUCAUAAGUAAGGGACUAUCAGGCCAAUACUUUUCACCGUCGAGUGGAUUGAAUUGUCCAAAGUAGGCAUUUUUUUGUAGCUACGCACAGUGAAUUCUGGUGCCAUAUGCUCCCAUGCUUGAUACCCAAUUUGAUCAAAUCCCUUUAUUGCAUGAGAACAUGGAAUAUGGUAUGAUUGCCAUUUACCA